ACUGUAUCUUGACCUGACAAACUUGCGAAGUGCUAAGACGAUGAGGAUAGGAAUCGUUACGUCAGGCCUUGGCAUUGCCAGACAGUGCCUGAGAAAGAACACCUCAGUUUACAGAACUUGUAGAAGACAGGUCACUGGAAGUGGCUCCCCUCUGGACCUCAAUGUAGACAGUAAAACUGAGCAUUCCUAAGAUUUUCAGUGCUGGCCUGGACAUCACAGAGAUGUACCAGCCUGAUAUAGACAGACUCGAGGAGUUUUGGCGGACUCUCCAAGACAUGUGGAUCAAGCUGUACGGAAUGAAUUGUGUCACCAUCGCUGCAAUCAAUGGUCACAGCCCGGCGGGAGGGUGUCUGAUGUCUAUGAGCUGUGACUACAGAAUAAUGGCCCCCAACUACACCAUCGGCCUCAACGAAACACAACUGGGAAUAGUUGCACCAUUUUGGUUUGCAGAUGUCAUGUUGAAUACCGUGGGCUUCAGACAAACAGAGAUGGCCCUUCAGUUGGGAACCUUGUUCAAGACAGAGGAAGCUUUGAACAUUGGUCUCAUCGAUAAAGUGGUACCCCAGGAAGAGGUUCUUAGUGCUGCUCAGCAAGAAAUGCAGAGAUGGUUCAAAAUACCAGGUUUUGCGAGACAGUUAAGUAAGACAGAGUUGAGAAGACCAACAAUAGAAAAGUUGUUGAAGAAGAAGGAGGAGGACAUAGGCUAUUUCAGGGACUACAUCACCAAGGACGCCAUUCAGAAAUCGCUGGGAAUGUACCUGGAGAGCCUGAAGAAUAGACGGAAGUGAUAGAACCAGUGGCCUAUGUGAUAUUGUGAUAUCUUUAUUAAUAGUGGACAAAUGAAAGCAUAUAAUGUUGAACAUGAUACAGAGAUUUUGAAUCAUCCAUGCAUUAAUGCAUCUAUUUUUAUUUUAUUGCCAAUCAUAUAUAAAUGAAGGUUUCUGAAAUGUACUUGUAUUAAAGUUUAGAUGAUGU
rnacentral:misc_RNA from 1 species